CGCGUGAGUGAAGAAGGCCUUCGGGUUGUAAAGCUCUUUUGUCAGGGAAGAAACGGUGAGGGCUAAUAUCCUUUGCUAAUGACGGUACCUGAAGAAUAAGCACCGGCUAACUACGUGCCAGCAGCCGCGGUAAUACGUAGGGUGCAAGCGUUAAUCGGAAUUACUGGGCGUAAAGCGUGC
rnacentral:rRNA from 1 species